rnacentral:rRNA from 1 species
GUGGGGAAUAUUCCGCAAUGGACGAAAGUCUGACGGAGCAACGCCGCGUGAGUGAUGAAGGUUUUCGGACUGUAAAGCUCUGUUGUUUAGGACGAAAGUGCCUGUUGCAAAUAGUUACAGGUAUUGACGGUACUGAACGAGGAAGCCACGGCUAACUACGUGCCAGCAGCCGCGGUAAUACGUAGGUGGCAAGCGUUGUCCGGAAUUAUUGGGCGUAAAGAGCAUGUAGGCGGGAAUCUAAGUCUGUUGUGAAAAUGCGGGGCUCAACCCCGUAUUGCGAUGGAAACUGGGUUUCUUGAGUGCAGGAGAGGAAAGGGGAAUUCCCAGUGUAGCGGUGAAAUGCGUAGAUAUUGGGAGGAACACCAGUGGCGAAGGCGCCUUUCUGGACUGUGUCUGACGCUGAGGCGCGAAAGUGUGGGGAGCAAACAGGAUUAGAAACCCCGGUAGUCC